GUAACGUCAGCCAAUCAGAAGUCUACUCGUGUUGCGACAGCCAAUUACAACGUGGCUGCGCGAGCUUAUUGCAUAUGGCGUCAUUCUCCUGUGGAAAGUCGUCGCGGCAGGAUGUGUUACUGUUGUGCGUGAUACGUUUUCAUUUCUACUUCGUCACCAUUUUUGGACUACAAUUAGCUUCAUUUAUUUGAUUAUUGCGGAAAUAACUUUAUUAAGAAGGAAAAUUAUGCAUCAGAGACGCUUGACGAAUUCGGUUGAAUUGGAAUCCUUUCAUACAGAUUCAGCAAUGAUUUAUUUCAACAAAUUGAGAUUUUUUGCAUUUUUCUACCUACAUCUUUUAUACGUGAAAAUAGCUUUCAUGGUGUCUUGUUAUUGUCUUGUUAUAACAACUUUGAGGACAAUAUUCUUCGCAUCUGACGAUGAAUUUCGUAGUUACGAUCGUCUCGUGGCGAGAUCUGGUAAUUGACAUCGUUUUUCAAUCAUAAUUUUAGAUUAAAAAAAUUUCAUUAGAAAAAGAUGGACGAUUAUAUCGCAAAUAUUAAGUUUUGGAAAGCGAUGUCAAGCCAAGAUCUACCGUGUACCGGUCCAAUCCAAGUCUUGGAAGAUUUCCUUUGGGUAUUCUCGUCAUCUGGACUGUAGAUAUCAUUUUAUUUGCCUUUAUCUCUGUGACACGUCGUGAAACUUCCUCAAGAUAUCACCUGUCUCUACUCGAUGACAGCCUUCUCGAUAUUCCGGAUCACGAUAAUGAUAUCCUUGGCAUCUAAUAGUCUCUGGAACAGUGGAACACAGCUCAACGCCGUUACAAGCCUAAUCACCCGAAGCAAAACGAGUCUUAAUGUAUUCAUACAUCGCACCCCUUCACCGAUAAUGGUCGUUCUUCGUCGCGGACAUUUGUCGAAUUCGAGCAAUUAGUCCGCGAACAACGGCCACUGACGAGUGCGAGUAGUCGAAGGAUUGGAGGGGGACAUGAGGCGUUUAAGUGGGGAAGGAGGAGAAGAACAGGAGCAAGAAGAAACAAGAAGAGCUUAGGAGGAACGCACGGAAGUUAAGUCCAAGUAUCAUUAACCUGGUGGAGGUUGCUGUCUCGGUUAAUGAGGUGGCUCACCUGGACGCAACCUGUGCUUGUAAGCUGCUUCUUACCGUCCCCAUCCUCCUGUUCUUGCGCUUGAUACACUGGUACUGGCGUAAACAUAAAUGCAUAAGUUUCUUUUUAAGUUCUCUUUUUAAGUUUAUAAAUUUUUAUAUGAAAUUGUACAAUUGUACAGUUUUAUACGAUAGUGUAAAUAUAAAUAUUCGAAAGUAAGUUUCUUUUUAAGUUCUCUUUUUAAGUUUAUAAAUUUUUAUAUGAAAUUGUACAAUUGUAUAACAGUUUUAUAUUGAUACUGUAGAUAAGAUUGAUCGAUGAAUUUUUCCUCUUCAGUAUUUACA